rnacentral:rRNA from 1 species
UACGUAGGGUGCAAGCGUUAAUCGGAAUUACUGGGCGUAAAGCGUGCGCAGGCGGUUGUUUAAGUCUGUUGUGAAAGCCCUGGGCUCAACCUGGGAAUUGCAGUGGAUACUGGGCGACUAGAGUGUGGAAGAGGGUAGUGGAAUUCCCGGUGUAGCAGUGAAAUGCGUAGAGAUCGGGAGGAACAUCCAUGGCGAAGGCAGCUACCUGGACCAACACUGACACUGAGGCACGAAAGCGUGGGGAGCAAACAGG